rnacentral:rRNA from 1 species
UACGUAGGGUGCGAGCGUUGUCCGGAAUUAUUGGGCGUAAAGAGCUUGUAGGCGGUUUGUCGCGUCUGCUGUGAAAAUCCGGGGCUCAACCUCGGGCCUGCAGUGGGUACGGGCAGACUGGAGUGCGGUAGGGGAGAAUGGAAUUCCUGGUGUAGCGGUGGAAUGCGCAGAUAUCAGGAGGAACACCGGUGGCGAAGGCGGGUCUCUGGGCCAUAACUGACGCUGAGGAGCGAAAGCGUGGGGAGCGAACAGG